GAUUUUGUGUCUUUGUAUAAUAAAAGAAAACGACUUGCUCCUGCUCCAGUGGGACCAAAUGUGAUGAGAACCAGGGAAGGAGAAUACGAAGACAGUGACAGUGUAAUUUAUGAGUAUGAACCAGAUUAUGAAUGUGGGAGUGUUGUGUCCGAAGCUUCCUACAUUGGAGAUCAGCAGAAAACACUUACGGAAGUUCUAAGUUAUUGCCAGGUAAUGUAUGAUUCCAUACAGAAACUGGAUAAAAAACUUGACCUGCUUCACUGAAAGGUCUCAGAAAUGCAGCAUACCUGUGCUAGGCCACUGUUGCUCAAACCUGUGAGUAUUAAAGAACUGAGAAAUUCAUUUUUGCCUUUAAUUCUUCUGAUGCUUAUUUUUUAAAAAAAUCCUCUUCUGUCACUAAGAACAAAAUUAGUAGCAAUCUGUAAGUGUAGAUUCCAUUUCAGUUAAUUUUAUUUAGAUUUCUUAUUAUAUACUAUUUAUGCUUCUGUGUUGUUACCAAAUACAGUGUACUGUCUUGUUGGUUUCUGGAAUUAGAGGAGAGUUUAUGCAUCACAGAAUCCACACAGGCUGGUUCUAUUAGUUCAUUGAUUUUUAGGUCUCUACAGUGUGUUUUCAUCUCCAUUGCAGUACCGAAUUGUAUUUUUCUAAUAAAAUGCCUUUAUGCCAAAUUUUUAAGAAGACACAAUACUGAGUGCAUUAUCCUUUUUGUUCUCGUGUGGUUAAUCCUCUGUUAACUAAAGGGACAGAAUAUUAGUACUUAUGACUAAGUACACAUGCUCUUUAAAGGGAAAACCAGGUAAUUUUUGAAGAAGGUUAUGAAUUCUCUAAUGACCUUUCUUUGUCAACAAUAUUGCAAAGCUUUUAAUGUGACAGAAGUGAUUCUGGUGUCAAGAAAUGUCAAGAGAUCAGUAAGGCUAUUUGCAUCAAGGGUGAGUAAAAGUGAUGUUGUUCUUGUGCUUGUUAGUUAUUAAUACUAUAUU